AAUACCGCGUGAGGGAGGAAGGCUCUUGGGUUGUAAACCUCUUUUCUCAAGGAAGAACACAAUGACGGUACUUGAGGAAUAAGCAUCGGCUAACUCCGUGCCAGCAGCCGCGGUAAUACGGAGGAUGCAAGCGUUAUCCGGAAUGAUUGGGCGUAAAGCGUCCGCAGGUGGCUGUGUAAGUCUGCUGUUAAAUAGUGAGGCUCAACCUCAUAAAGGCAGUGGAAACUACAUGACUAGAGUGCGUUCGGGGCAGAGGGAAUUCCUGGUGUAGCGGUGAAAUGCGUAGAGAUCAGGAAGAACACCGAUGGCGAAAGCGCUCUGCUAGGCCGCAACUGACACUGAGGGACGAAAGCUAGGGGAGCGAAUGGGAUUAGAUACCCCAGUAGUCCUAGCCGUAAACGAUGGAUACUAGGCGUGGCUAGUAUCGACCCGAGCCGUGCCGUAGCUAACGCGUUAAGUAUCCCGCCUGGGGAGUACGCAGGCAACUGUGAAACUCAAAGGAAUUGACGGGGGCCCGCACAAGCGGUGGAGUAUGUGGUUUAAUUCGAUGCAACGCGAAGAACCUUACCAGGACUUGACAUGUCGCGAAUCUGGGUGAAAGCUCAGAGUGCCUUCGGGAGCGCGAACACAGGUGGUGCAUGGCUGUCGUCAGCUCGUGUCGUGAGAUGUUGGGUUAAGUCCCGCAACGAGCGCAACCCUCGUUUUUAGUUGCCAUCAUUAAGUUGGGCACUCUAGAGAGACUGCCGGUGACAAACCGGAGGAAGGUGGGGGAUGACGUCAAGUCAGCAUGCCCCUUACGUUCUGGGCUACACACGUACUACAAUGCUACGGACAAAGGGCAGCUACACAGCGAUGUGAUGCUAAUCUCACAAACCGUAGCUCAGUUCAGAUCGCAGGCUGCAACUCGCCUGCGUGAAGGAGGAAUCGCUAGUAAUUGCAGGUCAGCAUACUGCAGUGAAUUCGUUCCCGGGCCUUUGUACACACCGCCCGUCACACCAUGGAAGCUGGUAGUGCCCGAAGUCAUUACCCCAACGAUUCGUCGAGGGGGAUGCCUAAGGCAGGACUGGUGACUGGGGUGAAGUCGUAACAAGGUAGCCGUACCGGAAGGUGUGGCUGGAUCACCUCCUUUAAAGGAGAUCUACCCGCUCAAAUAUUGAAAACAAUUUGUAAUUAGAUAUUGAGUUGGUCAUCCUAAUGGUCGUUCGCGUAGAAGUUGUUACUUUCUUUCAAACUAUAUUUUGGUUCGUAUGGGCUAUUAGCUCAGGUGGUUAGAGCGCACCCCUGAUAAGGGUGAGGUCCCUGGUUCGAGUCCAGGAUGGCCCACCUAAAAAAAGUCAAAAGGGAAAAGUAAAAACUAAAAAGAAUUCGUUAUUUCUUUUGCCUUUUGCCUUGUAACUUUUUACUUUUUAUCUGGUGUUGGUAGAGCUUUUGCAAUGCAUCGCCGGAUGUCAGCGGUUAGAGUACGCUAACCUCCACUAUUAUUUAUACUCAAUCGGGAAAAUUCAGCAACUGAGCAUUACUUGCCAGACUGCUGGAUAUAUUUCCAGCGUGUGAACCUUGAAAACUGCAUAGUGAAGCGAAUAAGCAGGCAGACACACACAGACAUAAUUUGAGUCGUGUUUGCAAACAUCAUACCAAUUGUUAUUUUGGUCAAGCGAAUAAGGGCUAACGGU
rnacentral:rRNA from 1 species